rnacentral:rRNA from 1 species
UACGGAGGGUGCAAGCGUUAUCCGGAUUUACUGGGUUUAAAGGGUGCGUAGGUGGGUUGGUAAGUCAGUGGUGAAAUACUUUCGCUUAACGAAGGAACUGCCAUUGAUACUACCAGUCUUGAAUACAGUGGAGGUAGGCGGAAUGCGUCAUGUAGCGGUGAAAUGCUUAGAUAUGACGCAGAACACCAAUUGCGAAGGCAGCUUGCUACACUGUUAUUGACUCUGAGGCACGAAAGCGUGGGGAUCAAACAGG